GCCUGCUUCGGCAGUACGUAUACUAAAAUUGGAACGAUACGGAGAAGAUUAGCACGGCCCCUGCGCGAGGAUGACACACAAAUUCAUGAAGCUUCCGUAUUUUUA
ensembl:snRNA U6 U6 spliceosomal RNA